rnacentral:lncRNA from 1 species
GGCUCAUGCCUCCUGUGAGGCAGAUUACAUGCGGCUGUGUGGGAGUGGGGUUGCUUAGAGGAGCGGUCUCCCCGACAUGAAAUACUGCCUGUGCAGAUUACUGUGAAGUUGGGAGAAAACUGACAAGCAGAUCACCUGAAAGUGCUGGUUACGUGGUAGACGCUGGUGAGAGAUUCCCAUUGCCUUUCUUGGAUUUUGCUCAGUUCUAGAGAACUGUGUUGGCUCCUCCCCAUGCAUCUGGGCACCCAGAUCCUGCCCCUGCUCAGGACUAAAGCUCUAAAUAAUCCACCCACCCCACUGCCAUGCUGCCCCAAUACUGUGUUUGGAAAUGCUCAGCACUUUUGAAAAAGACAAAAAAGUAGAUGAGCAUCUGGACCGGAGACUUGUGCUUUGACUGAUAAGGAUAAAAGACAGCCAGAGUGUCUACAUGGUAGAGCCCAGAAUGAAAGAACAAGUCACUGUAGGGGUAUCUCUGCAAUCCUCAUUAAACAUCAGAGCCCACAAGGCAGGUUUUGGAUUAUUUCUGAAGCUAAUCAUAGAGUAACACUCCAUCAACUGGGAACCCGACUCCUUCCUGUGUUGCUGGAACAGAGUUCUAUAAGCUAA